rnacentral:lncRNA from 1 species
GAAGAUACGCAGGACGUCCUCUAAAGCAACUUCCGUGGGUGCCAGGUUGUGGGCUGGGGGCGGUGCUGACCUUGAGAGAGCGGAGGAGGCGCAGGCGCAGCACAGUUUAAACUUGAUUUUGUGAGGGGACGAACAGCGUGACAAUUAAAAGAAGAUCUGGGAAUCAAAAGCUUCCUGAGGCCUUCACCAGAAGCAGAUGCUGGUGCCGUGCUUCUACAGCCUGCAGAACUAUCCAAUGUGAUAAUUUAUGUGAAAUCUUUCUGCAAACUAUACAGUAUGAUAAAAAUAUAAGGUAGUUUCACUGGAAACAACAGAAGACUAGAAGCUGAUGUGACGUGGCAAUAUCAACCAGGAAUACCCAUCUCGAGUUCUGGAUAUGUGCUCUGAGAAGGUGCCCAUGUCACCGACCACACUGGAGGCCAAUGCAGAUACUGGGGGAAGGUUCCAUGGUAGCUAAGUGUGGACAAGCUAAUCACUGAAGUUCCCUGAUGCAGAGUUGAUAAUCUCUCUAGAGUUGGAUGAAAGACUGUGCUGCCUUGAAGCUCUGAGAGAUGCCAUGCCAAUUCAAGGCAGGGUCUUUAUUGUUGAAACUCUUGCGUAAUGACAUCUUUAUUCAGGUGAAAAUACAGGAUGAAUUUCAACUAUAUGAUAUUGUUUAUGUUCCUCAGACAUGUUAUUUGUCUUUACAAAGAUUGGUUUCAAUAAACUGUGUGACUGAUAUUAAAUAAACAUGGAAUUUUACACAUUCAUAAU